GAAAUGUGAUAAGUAAUGUGAAUUGCAGAAUUCCGUGAAUCAUCGAAUCUUUGAACGCACAUUGCGCCCUCUGGCAUUCCGGGGGACAUGCCUGUCCGAGCGUCAUUACGCACCCUCAAGCCCGGCUUGUGUGAUGGGCCCCGGCGUCUCGUUCGCGAGACGGGCCCGAAAGGCAGCGGCGGCGUCGACCCGAUGAGCCCGAGCGUAUGGGGACUUCUGUCACACGUUCGCGGUGCGGACCGGCGCCUGCUUGACUUUUCUGAUUAUCCAGGUUGACCUCGGAUCAGGUAGGGAUACCCGCUGAACUUAAGC
rnacentral:misc_RNA from 1 species